UCCCUGGUGGUCCAGUGGCUAAGACUCUGCAUUUCCAAUGCAGAGGGUCCAGGUUUGAUCCCUAGGUAGGGAA
rnacentral:tRNA from 1 species